GAUGAACGCUGGCGGCGUGCCUAAUACAUGCGAGUCGAGCGAACAGACGAGGAGCUUGCUCCUCUGACGUUAGCGGCGGACGGGUGAGUAACACGUGGAUAACCUACCUAUAAGACUGGGAUAACUUCGGGAAACCGGAGCUAAUACCGGAUAAUAUAUUGAACCGCAUGGUUCAAUAGUGAAAGACGGUUUUGCUGUCACUUAUAGAUGGAUCCGCGCCGCAUUAGCUAGUUGGUAAGGUAACGGCUUACCAAGGCGACGAUGCGUAGCCGACCUGAGAGGGUGAUCGGCCACACUGGAACUGAGACGCGGUCCAGACUCCUACGGGAGGCAGCAGUAGGGAAUCUUCCGCAAUGGGCGAAAGCCUGACGGAGCAACGCCGCGUGAGUGAUGAAGGUCUUCGGAUCGUAAAACUCUGUUAUUAGGGAAGAACAAAUGUGUAAGUAACUAUGCACGUCUUGACGGUACCUAAUCAGAAAGCCACGGCUAACUACGUG
rnacentral:rRNA from 1 species